UCUUUCACUUGUUUUAGUCCCACCGUCCCGGCUUAUGAGUCUCCCACACCCCGGGGCACGCGGGCGGCGAGCCGCGAGUGGCGCAGAGACCACGCGGCACGCAGAAGUUAUUUUCGACCCCAGCCGCGGACUAUUUCCUUGCUUCCCUCACAAAGGCUGCGGAGGGUUACCGACUGCGUCAGAGUGAGCUGUCCCGGGUCUAUAAAUAGGCCUCUCGCGGCGCUGCGGCAGGCAUUGAGGCAGCGAGCGCAGAGCCGGCAGCAGCGGCGGAGCUUGAGGAAGGCAGAUAAGUCUCUGCUCGAGGAACGAGCUUAUUAGCCAUUCUAAAUAGCGAAAAUAACCUAGAGAAGAAUGAGGAUUAGGCCUUAGUUCUUUAAAAAGAUUUUUAAAAGAUAAAAAGGUUGUAAAAGAGCGAAGUUAUGAAGGUCUUAAAGGGUAGCUUGAAAGUGGAGCAGAGAAGAAAAACGAGUUUUCUAGUUCUUAACGGAGGUUGAGAUGAAAAUGCUUAACGGAGGAAAGAAUAAGCUUGAGGCAGCGGCUGAGAGGACUGUAAAGUCCUGGAGUUUAAAAAGGAAUUUAAACCGAAGGGCAGGCCGGUAGGUAGCUCUGAAAUGGACAGGCAUAAAUAGGACAGAAACGGCGUUUUAGGAAGCCAGGCCUUAGGUAAAUUAAAUGUAAUGUUGAACGUAAAGCUGAAGGUGAUUUAAGAGACCUUCAAGUUCAGGCGCAGGGAAGAUGGCGUCCUCUCGAGCCGAGAGGUUUUAUUUACUUGGAAAAAAAAUUGAGGUAGAGGGAGUGGUAGGAUUUUAAAAAAUUAAAAUGGAUAAAAUAGAAGAAAGAAGAUUAGAAAUUUGAAGUGGAAAAUGGAAGACAGAAGUACAGGAAGGUGAAGAAAAAGAUAUAGAAGAUAGGAAAAAUUAGAAGAUUUUUAAAAAGGCCUGUUAGAAGCCAGGAAGCCCUUGGUACUAGGAGGAAGAAAAUGCGUAGACAAGAUAGAAAACCGUCUUUUAAGGGCACAGAUACAAAUUCAGUAGAAGAUGAAGCGAGGAAGGUUCAAGAUGGCCAAGAAGUACCUCAGAUAGAAAGUGAAAAUCCAGCUAGGACAAAGUUCCCACAGGAGCGUUAGAAGAUAGACGCCAGCAGCCGGGAAGAUAGAAACGUUUAAGAUGGAAUAGCUCAGGAAGACUGAGGAAGCGUGCGAAAGGGCUGAGAAUUCCAGAGCCUCUCGACUUGGUUUCUGGUGGUCUAGGAGUAGGUGUGAGAAGGGGGUCACUGCCGUAGGCCACGGUCGACUUAGAAGAACAGCCGAAGCUAGCAGGAAAAAGUGCUUAGGAGCGCAGGAAGCUUCCGAAAGGUCUGAAGUCAUUAAAAUUCAGGUAGCAUGUUGUAGGCCAAGAUCGCCUUAGAAGAGCAUCUGCAGCUAGAAGGAAGGUGUGUUAAGGCACAGGAAGCUUCUGGAAGGAUGAAGUCGUUACGAAAUUAGGUAGAAGGCUUUUGGAAGAGUUGGAAGCUUGGAAGGCCGUAAAUGCGGUAGCUUAGUUCUCUUUGGAAAAUUCAAAGGACUUUAAUUGGAGAUCAAGAAUAUUCAAAAAAAAAUUCUUUUGCUUUGGACUUUGAGUUAAAAAUAAACCGAAGAGUAGGCGGUAAUUGGCAGCCGACCCAGGCGCUACGCAGAAGUGGAUUCAGGAUCUAGGAAGGAGCGGCAGACAGGAGCCAGGAGCCAGUGUGCAGCAGACAGGAGGACCCCAGGAGCCAGUGUGCAGCAGACAGGAGGACCCCAGGAGCCAGUGUGCAGCAGACAGGAGGACCCCAGGAGCCAGUGUGCGGCAGACAGGAGGACCCCAGGAGCCAGUGUGCGUGAAGCUAGGACUGAGGAGCGAGCGGGAGCGGCAGUCGCGGUGAAGAUAGGCGAGCCCGGGAGCCAGUGCCGGUGGUGUAGGAAGAAGGAGCCGUGCCGCCGUGGAGGUGCAGCUAGGCGAGAUUCCAGGAAGGAGCAGCCAGUGCGGUGGCGGUGAUGAAGCUAGCGGGCGGCGCGGCUUGGCGACCCCGGCGGCGGCGGAGGCAGCAGGCGUUUGGCGCUAGCUAGAGCAUCCUAGAGCAGCCGCCCCGUAUGCGAGGCCACAGGGAGAGCCAGUGGUGUGGUAACGACCCGUGAGGCUUGUUUGUAAUGGCGUAUGGUAACCUUUUUUAUUCUCCUGGUAGUGGGGGACUGGGGUGUAGGCCCAUUUCCGGUUCCGGUGUUACAGGUUUCUCUUUUUCAGGCUUGUUUUCUCAUGCGUCUUGUCUGAAGCUUUUGAGGGCAGACUUCCAAGGCCUGGAGAAAUGGUAGAUGGCAAGUUUUUUUCCCCCCCUAAAACUAAUAUGAGGAAAACCAAAUGAGUUUGAUAGAACAAGUGAAAAAUUGCCUUUCCUAAGCAGUUUUUAGUGUGGGCAAUGAAGUAUUUUAGCUUUGUCAAUAGAUGACUUGUUUUUUCUGUUUUCACCCUGAAUUAAGGUUUAAAUACGGAGUUGGAUGUGUAAUUAGGGAUUGUUGGGGGGGGGCAAAAUAUGUUUUGAGUUCUUCUCCCCUUAGGUCUCUAGAAUUCCAAAGGCAAAUGACUGAUUCAAGGUAACAGCAAAAAGAAAAUCCAGUAUCAGGAUAAUCAGCACCACAGGUUUACAGUUUCUAGACACUAGAGCACGAAGCAGCUUACUUUGAGGUCUGUGGAGGAGCUGUUCAAUGGAGAAAUGGCUGGUAGCUAAUUCUUUUUUCCACCCCUUAACCAGAUUUUUUAAAAGUUUAUAACUGUUACAGCUGGUUAUUUUACUUGGAAGUCUCUUGGGGUGGUCUAAACAGGGAAAGGGGGGGGAAAUGUUUUUUUCUAAGAUUUUCCGCAGAUGAUAUAGCACUAUGGAAAACUGGGUUAGAGAAGGAUUGUACUGCUAUGCUGUUGGCACCAACACCUUCAGGGAUUUGGAGCUCCUUGACUCCUUGGAAGAGUAUUCCCAGUUGAAGCUGAAAUGUACAGCACAGUGCAGCUUUGGUUCAUAAUCUGUCACCUCAGGAGAACAUCAGAAGCGAUUGACUAGGCCAGAUGUUGAAGUUAAGUUUUAAAAUGUGUGACCUUAAAAAUACCUUUUAUUAAAGGGGAGGGGCAAAAUUGGUGAUUAGUUGUCAGUGAUCUGUUAUGGUUGGGAUUGGGGAGGGGGGUUGGGUUUUAGGUAAUUGUUUAGUUUAUGAUUUCAGGUAACUCAUGCCAGAGAACUUAAAUACUUAGGAUGGAAAAACUAAAGAAAUCUCAACUUCAAAGUUGGCAAGUAACUCCCAAUUGUAGGCACCCCACCACCACCCAGUUUUGAAUUGGGCGGCUGGGAAAAAUUUGUGAAGAUUCACUGGAUUCAAAGUUUGGCAGGACUUGGGGGUUGGAUUCACCCCACUGGGCUCUAACCAAAAUCUUGGGAAGAUUAUUUUUUUUAAUGUUUUAAGUUGUUGGAUAUGGUAGUGUGUGGUUCUCUUUUGGAAUUUUUUUCAGGUGAUUUAAUAUAAACUUAAUACUAUAGGAGCUUCAGAGCAAAGGAGUGGCUUAAUGAUCCUGAAGGGAUUUCUGCUGAUGGUAGCUUUUGUAUUAUCAAGUAAGAUCUACUUUUAGUCACGUUAUAAGCAAGUUUUUGUUUCCCAGUGUAGGAAGUUUUCUCUUUUAUAUCAUUUCAAAGCAAGAUGUUAAGGUAUGCUUCGAAAUUAUUGCGAACUGUAUAUUUUUAAAAUUGCGCUUAACUAUUUGUAAAUUGUUACUGACAGGGUGGGUUUUUGUUGAUGGGGAGGGGAGGAAACUUUUUUUCUGUAGACUUUUUUCAGAUUACAUCUUCUGAGUCAUAACCAGCCUGGCAAUAUGAUGGCCUAGAAGGAGAGGGAACAGCUCCUUGGUGAAUGAUAAGUAAAAGGCAGAAAGAUUUUAUUUCAUAUCUCCAUUGGGGAAAAGGCAUAAAACCCUGAGAUCCUUACUCUACUGAUGAACAUUGUUGUCUGCAUAUGCCAAAAAAAAAAAAGCAAACAAGAUCUACCAAUUAAAAGUUAUUGGAAUCUACUAUAAAUUUAUGGUUUAUCAAGCUAUAACCACAAAAUAAGGAAUUGAUGAGAAUAAUGAAUUUGAGAAUAAAGAGUUGAUGAGAAAUAAUGAUGAAAUAAAAUAACAGUGAUGAGAAAUAACAAUGAAGAUCACAUGUUCAUCUACUGCUUUUACAAAAGCAGAAUAAAAAGUGAAAUGAAAAUACUACAUUAAUCUCGGAAUAAAAGAAGCUGAAAUAAUUCAAAUAAAUGGGAUCAAGUGGAUUGAAAAGGAGGCUGUGCUGUUUGCCAAUCUUUCGUUUGCCUCAGACAGGUUUCUCUUCAUUAUCAGAAGAGUUGCUUCAUUUCAUCUGGGAGCAGAAAACAGCAGACAGCUGUUAACAGAUAAGUUAAACUUGCAUCUGCAGUAUUGCAUGUUAGGGAUAAGUGUUUCUUAAAAACUGUGGAGGUCUUUUAAAAGUAUUUGAAUUGGGCUGUUUUUCCUGAUCCUUUAAGGAUUUCAGGAUUGUGAAGAAUUUUCCCAUCCAGCCUUUAAAAAAGUAAACAGGAUUUGUGCCUCUGGGCUCGCAUGAUGGGAUAUGACUCAUCCAGAGGCAGAUAAUUAGAAAUCCAUGGAGAUUAGUACCUAAAAGGUACCUGAGAAGUGAUGCUUAUGCAACUCAGAAAAUUUGAUUAGAAUUAAAUCUGAAAAAAUACAAAAUAAACAGCAUUGAAUCUUAAAACUAGUACAUAUUAGGAUAAAAUAUGUUAAAUCUUAAGUAAAAUUUAAUGUGUUGUGAUGUAUAUUGUGCAGAGAAAAAAAACCAUUAAAUCAUUCAAAACAAUAAACCAUAUUAGAGAAUGUAUGCUUUCAGAAAGGUGUCUCCUUAUUUAAAUAAAAUAUUGUUUGUCUGUAGUUAGUGUUGGGCAAUCUUGGGGGGAUUCUUCUCUAAUCUUUCAGAAACUUCGAGCACUUAAUGGACAAGAUAAGAAAUUGAGCAGAAGAACGAAUUUUACUUUUAAGGCAGGAAAGACAAAUUUUUUUAUCCUUCAUAAAUUGAUGAACAUUUAAUAAUUCCAGGCACAUGGCAAUAGAGAACCCUCUAAAUAAGGAAUUAAAUACCUCUUAGACAGGUGGGAGAUUUAUGAGAGUAACAAACAGGUAACUACAUCUACACUUGGUUUCCAGAAAGCUAGGGGCAUAUAAUUGAUGUUUGCAUGCUAAUUUUAAAUGCUUAAAAUCCUCUCACCUAGUGUCAGCCAGUGCUUACAAGUUAACUGGCCUUUUACACGAGCACUUGUAGGGGGGGGCAUGUGGGGUUUUUAAAGAAUUUUCCUUUGCAGAGGCUUCAUUUCAUCCUUCAGUGAAGCUGUUCAGGAUUUUGACUUGGCUCUGCCUUCUCUACUAGUGAGAUUUGCAGUGAGUUUUAUCAGCAUACACGUUUAAAAAACCUGAUUUUUUUGGAGGGAAGGGAGGAGGGGUGGGGCUUACUUGUUUAGCUUCUUUUUUACAGACUACACAGAAUGCAGUUGUCUUGAACUCAGGUCUGUCUGUUCUGUUGGCAAGUAAUCAGUACUGUUCUCACCCGCUGCUAUUAGAAUGCAUUUUGAAACGACUGGAGUAUGAGUCAAAGUUGUGUUUCCCUAAUGCUUGGAGUAGUGAUUGUUGAAGGAAAACGCAGCUGAGUGAUAUAAAAGGCUGAGUGUUGAGGAAGUUUCUGCAGCUUUAAGCAUUGAUGUUUGUGAGUGAAGUCAAAGUACCUUUUGCUGUGCUUCUUUAGGUAAAAAUGCUUUUUGUUCACUUCUGGUAAGGGGGUGGGGAGGGCAUUGAAGCCUUUAGUCUUUUCCAGAUGCAACUUUAAAAUCAGUUGACAAGAAAUAAAUUCCACACAAGCAGCAGUCUUCAGGAAGUGUAACUGGCAAGUGGAAAUGACUUAACAGUUCAGUGGCUUUAGUGCAUUGUUUUUGUGUGGGUUUCUCUCUCCCCUCCCUUGGUCUUAAUUCUUACAUGCAGGAACAUUCAAAACAGCAGACGUAUGCGAAGGGCCAGAGAAGCCAGACCCAGUAAGGAAAAUAGCUUGCUUUUUUAAAUAAACCAGAUAAUUCCGUUUUGAAUGUGGGGAUUGGGAACCACUAGUUCUUUCAGAUGAUACUCUGCAGACUAGAUGGAUCUUCAGUUGAAUUUCACCAUUGGACAAAAUGAGGACAACAGGUGAACAGCUUUUUCUGCAUUUACAUACCAGAUCAAAUAAAUGUUAGACUUUCAGCUUAAUGCUGCAGUCAAUAGCAUGUGAGCAAGUGUUUGACCUGGGGUGGAGGGGUGAGGUGGGCGCUAAGCCUGUUCUUAAGAUUUUUCAGGUAUCCCUCACUAAAGGCACCGAAGGCUUAAAGUAGGACAACCAUGGAGCCUUCUUCCUGUGGCAAGAGAGACAACAAAGCGCUAUUAUACUCAGGUCAAUCUGAAUGGUGUCAGCCUCCACAGGACUUGCCUAAUCAUGCAUUGAGGCUCACUAACUUGGGAGUGGCACCAAGGAAUGCGUUAAUAACGUUGUAUGCUCCCGGGCUCAUCCUAAUAUUUUAUGAAGCUGUUUUUAAAGCAGCUCUUAGAGCUCAAGUGAUGCUUGAGGGGAGGGAAAGCGGGCAACCACUUUUACCUAGCUUUUCCAGAAACCUGUUAAAAACAAGGUCUCCCCACAAGCGACUUCUCUGCCACAUCGCCACCCCCUGCCUUUGGUGUAGCACAGACCCUUCACCCCUCACCUCGAUGCUGCCAGUAACUUGGAUCCCUUUGGGCACGAUCCAUAAUCGUUGCAAGGUAACAGUGGUGCCACGGUCUGGUGGGUUGCACUACUUAGAAAAGGCAGUUUGCAAGUUAAUAUUAACACUGCAACCAAAAACUCUUUAAAAUGUUUAAAAUUAAAAAGUGUUUAAAAUAUAGCACUAGUACCAUGGUUUAAAGCAGCCAGUAAAAUAAAAACAUGAAGGAACUGUAAUAUUGGGUGGGAAAGUAAAAGGCUAGAGAGGAUGUGAGGUAUUUUAGUGGCUGAGGACUGUGGGGGGGUUGCAAAAUUCUCUGCUAAGACUUUUUCAGGUGAACAUAACAGACUUGGCCAAGCUAGCAUCUUAGCUGAAGCAGAUCCUCCAGUGCUCUUCAGUAGGGCUACUAAGGUUUUGCUUUUUGGCCUUUUUCUAACUUAAAAAAAAAAAAAGCAAAAGAUGCUGGUGGUUGGCACUCCUGGUUUCCAGGACAGGGUUCAAGUCCCUGCGGUGUCUUUGCUUGACAUAGCCUCUGCGCAUCUUCUCUGGAGUUGGGAGGUAGAAAGAAUUUAGGGCCUUAAUGGGAUUUGUCAAAAACCUAAUAUUUGUAUCUCUGAACAAGUAUAACCUUAACCUUUAAUUUUCAGGUAUUCCUAUGUAUUUUAGCGUUUGGCGAAUACUCUAUUAAAAAUUUAACAAUAAUAAAAAUUUAAGUUAACUCAU